CAGCCGCCGCGGUAACACGAAGGGGGCAAGCGUUGUUCGGAAUUACUGGGCGUAAAGGGCGCGUAGGCGGUGUACUAAGUUAGGCGUGAAAGCCCUGGGCUCAACCCGGGAAUUGCGCUUGAUACUGGUACGCUAGAAUCCAGGAGAGGUUGGUGGAAUUCCCAGUGUAGAGGUGAAAUUCGUAGAGAUUGGGAAGAACACCAGUGGCGAAGGCGGCUCACUGGACCGACACUGACGCUGAGGCGCGAAAGCGUGGGGAGCAAACAGGAUUAGAUACCCCUGUAGUCCCUGUCUCUUAUAA
rnacentral:rRNA from 1 species